rnacentral:rRNA from 1 species
CCUACGGGUGGCAGCAGUGAGGGAUAUUGCGCAAUGGGCGAAAGCCUGACGCAGCGACGCCGCGUGGAGGAUGAAGGCCUUCGGGUUGUAAACUCCUUUUGCAGGGGACGAUGAUGACGGUACCCUGCGAAUAAGCCACGGCUAACUCUGUGCCAGCAGCCGCGGUAAUACGGAGGGUGCGAGCGUUGCUCGGAAUCACUGGGCGUAAAGCGCGUGUAGGCGGUCAGGCAAGUCAGAUGUGAAAGCCCCUGGCUUAACCAGGGAAGUGCAUUUGAAACUGCUUGGCUGGAGUACGGGAGAGGAGAGUGGAAUUCCCGGUGUAGAGGUGAAAUUCGUAGAUAUCGGGAGGAACACCGGUGGCGAAGGCGGCUCUCUGGCCCGAUACUGACGCUGAGACGCGAAAGCGUGGGGAGCAAACAGGAUUAGAUACCCUUGUAGU